ACACGUGGGUAACCUGCCUUAUAGUGGGGGAUAGCCUUUCGAAAGGAAGAUUAAUACCGCAUAAGAUUGUAGUAUCGCACGAUAUAGCAAUUAAAGGAGCAAUCCGCUAUAAGAUGGACCCGCGUCGCAUUAGCUAGUUGGUGAGGUGAUGGCUCACCAAGGCGACGAUGCGUAGCCGACCUGAGAGGGUGAUCGGCCACAUUGGGACUGAGACACGGCCCAGACUCCUACGGGAGGCAGCAUG
rnacentral:rRNA from 1 species